rnacentral:rRNA from 1 species
CUUUAGCGAGGCUAGAAUUCUAACCCUUACCCGUCAUCCGGGAAGGAGACAGUUUCAGGGGGGUAGUUUGACUGGGGCGGUCGCCUCCUAAAGCGUAACGGAGGAGUUCGAAGGUACGCUAGGUACGGUCGGACAUCGUGCUAAUAGUGCAAUGGCAUAAGCGUGCUUAACUGCGAGACUGACAAGUCGAGCAGAUGCGAAAGCAGGACAUAGUGAUCCGGUGGUUCUGUAUGGAAGGGCCAUCGCUCAACGGAUAAAAGGUACUCUGGGGAUAACAGGCUGAUACCGCCCAAGAGUUCAUAUCGACGGCGGUGUUUGGCACCUCGAUGUCGGCUCAUCUCAUCCUGGGGCUGUAGCCGGUCCCAAGGGUAUGGCUGUUCGCCAUUUAAAGAGGUACGUGAGCUGGGUUUAAAACGUCGUGAGACAGUUUGGUCCCUAUCUGCCGUGGACCCGUCGACGCGGCCG